AGGAUAAACGCUGGCGGCGUGCCUAAUGCAUGCAAGUCGAACGGGAGCCCACUUGUGGGUCGACCGUGGCGGACGGGUGAGGAGCACGUAGCUGACCUGCCCUGGUGUGGGGGGAUAUCCUCCGGAAACGGAGUGUAAUACCGCAUGGGCUUGUUCUGGGGGACCGGAGCAAGCAAAGCCGCAAGGCGCACCAGGAGGGGGCUGCGUCCGAUUAGCUAGUUGGUGGGGUAACGGCUUACCAAGGCGAUGAUCGGUCGCUGGUCUGAGAGGACGAUCAGCCACACGGGGACUGAGACACGGCCCCGACUCCUACGGGAGGCAGCAGCAAGGAAUUUUCCACAAUGGGCGCAAGCCUGAUGGAGCAACGCCGCGUGGGGGAUGACGCACUUCGGUGUGUAAACCCUUUCGAGGGGACGAAGGCAAUGACGGUACCCUCGGAAUAAGGAUCGGCUAACUACGUGCCAGCAGCCGC
rnacentral:rRNA from 1 species